rnacentral:rRNA from 1 species
UAAUACUAGCGGUCCAAGUCGCAGCCAUUUUUAUUGGGUCUAAAACAUCCGUAGCUUGUUUAAUAAGUUUCUUGUGAAAUUUUAUGUCUUAAACAUAAAGCGAGCAAGAAGUACUAUUAGGCUAGAGACUGGGAGACGGAAGAAGUACGUUUAAAGUAGCGGUAAAAUGUUUUAAUCUUAAACGGACUAACAAGAGCGAAGGCAUCUUCCGAGAACAGUUCUGACAGUCGGGGAUGAAGGCUAGGGGCGCAAAACGGAAUAGAUACCCGUGUAGUCCUAGCAGUAAACACUGCACACUAAACAUCAGUACCUCUUCGAGAGGUAUUGGUGCUGUAGGGAAGCCGAAGAGUGUGCUACCUGGGAAGUAUAGUCGCAAGGCCG